CGGCGUCGAGCGGCGGACGGGUGAGUAAUGCCUAGGAAAUUGCCCUGAUGUGGGGGAUAACCAUUGGAAACGAUGGCUAAUACCGCAUGAUGCCUACGGGCCAAAGAGGGGGACCUUCGGGCCUCUCGCGUCAGGAUAUGCCUAGGUGGGAUUAGCUAGUUGGUGAGGUAAGGGCUCACCAAGGCGACGAUCCCUAGCUGGUCUGAGAGGAUGAUCAGCCACACUGGAACUGAGACACGGUCCAGACUCCUACGGGAGGCAGCAGUGGGGAAUAUUGCACAAUGGGCGCAAGCCUGAUGCAGCCAUGCCGCGUGUGUGAAGAAGGCCUUCGGGUUGUAAAGCACUUUCAGUCGUGAGGAAGGUAGUG
rnacentral:rRNA from 1 species